GAUGAACGCUAGCGGCAGGCUUAACACAUGCAAGUCGAGGGGUAUUGGUUUUCGGGCCAAGAGACCGGCGCACGGGUGCGUAACGCGUAUGCAAUCUACCUUUUGCAGAGGGAUAGCCCCAGAGAAAUUUGGAUUAAUACCUCAUAGUAUAGUACUUUGGCAUCAAGGAACUAUUAAAGUCACAACGGCAAAAGAUGAGCAUGCGUCCAUUAGCUAGUUGGUAAGGUAACGGCUUACCAAGGCUACGAUGGGUAGGGUCCUGAGAGGGAGAUCCCCCCANACUGGUACUGAGACACGGACCAGACUCCCACGGGAGCAGCAGUGAGGAAUAUUGGACAAUGGGCNCAAGCCUGAUCCAGCCAUGCCGCGUGCAGGAUGACGGUCAUGGAUUGUAAACUGCUUUUUAACAGGAGAACACUCCGACGUGUCGGAGCUUGACGGUACUGUAAGAACUAAGGAUCGGGCUAACUCGUGCCAGC
rnacentral:rRNA from 1 species